rnacentral:rRNA from 1 species
AUUGAACGCUGGCGGCAGGCCUAACACAUGCAAGUCGAGCGAGCGGCGGACGGGUGAGUAAUGUCUGGGAAACUGCCUGAUGGAGGGGGAUAACUACUGGAAACGGUAGCUAAUACCGCAUAACAUCAGAUGUGCUCAGAUGGGAUUAGCUAGUAGGUGGGGUAACGUCUCACCUAGGCGACGAUCCCUAGCUGGUCUGAGAGGAUGACCAGCCACACUGGAACUGGGAAACGGUGCAGACUCCUACGGGAGGCAGCAGUGGGGAAUAUUGCACAAUGGGCGCAAACCUGAUGCAGCCAUGCCGCGUGUAUGAAAAAGGCCUUCGGGUUGUAGAGUACUUUCAGCGGGGGGGCGUUACCCGCAGAAGAAGCACCGGCUAACUCCGUGCCAGCAGCCGCGGUAAUUC